AAAUUAGAAAAAGAGAGGUGGGACCCACGUCCCUUUUAAAUGAAUUAAGAGACCAAGUUAGUCUCUGUUCUUUUUCUCUCUCUUUCUCCCGACUGCUGCUCUCAGCUCCUUCUCUUUUUCCUUUUUUCUUUUUUUUUCACUUCAAGCUUUAACCCUUGAUUACUCUCUCAAUCCUUGCCAGAUUUAGGUGCCGUUUGAGGCAAAACGACGAGCCCUACGUGCCGGUAUCAGAAAUUCCAGCUUUUGGUCCUCUUUGGGAGCUCGAAUUUGAGGACCCAUUUUCUAGGGUUUUGGUGCAAUCUUGAGGUCUUGAAAAAGAACCGGUGGACGACAAUCCACCCCAACUUUGAAAGUUGCUAGAGGAGCAUUUUCCUUGUUAUUUUGUAAUAGACUACUCCUUUGUUCAUCCCUCAUUUUUGUAAAAUUCCAAAGGUGUAAUGAUGUAAAUUUCUUUUGAAGAACCAUGAUCAUGUAAUACACUUAUGAUACUUGAUGACAUAUGGGAUGCGAACUUGAUGA